UAACGGGAAGACCCUUACCAGGUCUUGACAUCUUUUGCUAACCUAAGAGAUUAAGCGUUCCCUUCGGGGACGGAAUGACAGGUGGUGCAUGGUUGUCGUCAGCUCGUGUCGUGAGAUGUUGGGUUAAGUCCCGCAACGAGCGCAACCCUUAUUGUCAGUUGCCAGCAUUUAGUUGGGCACUCUGGCGAGACUGCCGGUGACAAACCGGAGGAAGGUGGGGAUGACGUCAAAUCAUCAUGCCCCUUAUGACCUGGGCUACACACGUGCUACAAUGGACGGUACAACGAGUCGCGAAACCGCGAGGUCAAGCUAAUCUCUUAAAGCCGUUCUCAGUUCGGAUUGUAGGCUGCAACUCGCCUACAUGAAGUUGGAAUCGCUAGUAAUCGUGGAUCAGC
rnacentral:rRNA from 1 species